UUGUGAGAAUCUACUGAAUCUACUGGUACCUUGUUUCCCAUGUAACAAUAAGAAAUAUACUCAAAACCUGGAUUCAUCUUUUUAGUCACAUAGCACUACUAUUAUUCUGAACACUACUGUACACGCUGGCUUUGCACUAUCUUGCACUUCUUUCAUCAUCAGCUAUUCUAUGUAGUUGUAUUGCUUUGUCUUUGGAUUUUUUUAUUCGGGAAAAUUAAAGGUACAUACAUACAGUUUCCACUGCUUAUCUACAGUCAGGUCGCUGGGAAAAUGAAAGUGUUUUUUUUUUGUUUUUUUGUUUUUUUUUUAAACAAGGCAAAUACAAUUCAAGUAAAGUUUCAUGUUUAUUUUAUUAUUGCACUGGCACAUCUCAAAAAAUUAGAGUAUUGUGGAAGUUCUAUAUAUUUUAACCCGGAAUUUCACAGAAUGCAAAUGUUAUACAUUAUACACUCAUUGCACACAAACUAAAAUGUUUCAAUGUUUUUAUUUUAAGUUUGAUAAAUAGACCUAUAGUUCCACAGCUUUUCUUGCUAAUCGUCUUGAGGCUGCGGUCAUCCCUGUUAGUCUAGGACCUAGCUUAGACAUGCAAGCACAUCAUUUAGGAGAGGAUACUCAACUGUUCUAGACUAAUAUGACCCGAAUGAACAAGUUUUACCA